UGGGAAUAUUGGGGCAAUGGGGCGAAAGCCUGACCCAGCAAUGCCGCGUGAAGGAAGAAGGCCUUCGGUUGUAAACUUCUUUAUCAGGGACGAAGGAUGUGACGGUACCUGAUGAAUAAGCUCCGGCUAACUACGUGCCAGCAGCCGCGGUAAUACGUAGGGAGCAAGCGUUAUCCGGAUUUACUGGGUGUAAAGGGCGCGUAGGCGGGAUGGCAAGUCAGAUGUGAAAUCCAUGGGCUCAACCCAUGAACUGCAUUUGAAACUGUUAUUCUUGAGUACUGGAGAGGUUGACGGAAUUCCUAGUGUAGCGGUGAAAUGCGUAGAUAUUAGGAGGAACACCAGU
rnacentral:rRNA from 1 species